rnacentral:rRNA from 1 species
CCUACGGGAGGCAGCAGUGGGGAAUAUUGGACAAUGGACGCAAGUCUGAUCCAGCAAUGCCGCGUGAGUGAUGAAGGCCUUAGGGUUGUAAAGCUCUUUUACCAGGGAUGAUAAUGACAGUACCUGGAGAAUAAGCUCCGGCUAACUCCGUGCCAGCAGCCGCGGUAAUACGGAGGGAGCUAGCGUUGUUCGGAAUUACUGGGCGUAAAGCGCACGUAGGCGGUUACUCAAGUCAGAGGUGAAAGCCCGGGGCUCAACCCCGGAACUGCCUUUGAAACUAGGUAACUAGAAUCCUGGAGAGGUGAGUGGAAUUCCGAGUGUAGAGGUGAAAUUCGUAGAUAUUCGGAAGAACACCAGUGGCGAAGGCGGCUCACUGGACAGGUAUUGACGCUGAGGUGCGAAAGCGUGGGGAGCAAACAGGAUUAGAUACCCUUGUAGUC